UGAAAUCCAAUCUCUACAACUACACAAUACACCAACCACCCUAUUUCAUAACGAACGUCGUACGAACCUGAAUUGAACAAUGUCAUGGACCAAUCGAUAUCGGAUUGAGUCCAAAACUUGGGGAACAUCAUAUUACGGUGGGAGGAGUUAGUUGCUGGGUUUUGAGGGAAAUCCAAUCUCAACAACUAUGCAAUACACCAACCACUCUAUUUCAGAACGAAUUUCGUACGAACCUGAAUUUUCCAAUUUCAGGGACGAAUCGACAUCGGAUUGAGUCCAAAACUUGGGGAUCAUCAUAAUACGGUGGGAGGAGUCAUUUGGUGGUUUUUUUUUUUUUCGUAAAAUCCAAUCUCUACAACUAUGCAAUAC
rnacentral:lncRNA from 1 species